CUGUGUUCCAGCACAAAUGCUAUGAUUUGGCAGGAAAAAAAUAUUAUUUAGUAUAAAUACUAAGUUUUAGCAGAAAUGCUAUGUUUAAACUUUAAAAAAUUCUGCUAUUUCUGCUGAUGUGUGUUAUGACUUUUGACCAUUGAAAUGAAUGGAACACAUUAUCAAUGUGGUCACUGAUUUUGCAUGAUGGGCUGAGCUGUGCUUUACCUCAGUGAGAUAAGCAUCCGUUCUCAGACUGGGAGGCCUGGGUUCAAAUCCAGCUUAUGGCAACAUUUCUUUCACUUAACAGUUAAACUUUUUUUAAACUCUUUUCAACACAAAUUUCAUUUUAUUCACCCCUUUUCAGCAAAAUUUUCAGUUUUUUUAACCCCUUUUCAGCACAAAUCCAAACUUUAUCAGCUCUUUUUCAGCAAAAACCUCUUUUCAGCAGAAUUCUGCUCAUUCAACUCUUUUCAGCAAAAUUUUCAGUUUUUUCUGCUGUUUUCAGAAAAAAACUCUUUUCAGCAGAAUUCUGCUCAUUCACCUCUUUUCAGCAGAAAUUCUGCUGAUGGAACUCUUUUCAGCAGAAUUUUCACCCCUUUUUUUUGCCCAAAUUCUGCUAGCACAAUUGUCAAUCUCUCCACCUUUUCUUUGUGAGAAAGUGUUUGGCUCAGUGAGCUAAAUAGCUGCCCUUUGAUCAGGAGGGCCAGGUUCGAAACCUGCUCAGGGCAUCUUUUUUUUUUUUUUGUUUCAACUUUUUCAGCUUUUUUCAGCAGAUAUCUUCAGCCGUUAAGGCAUCCACACUGCAUUUUCGCAGGAAAUGCAAAUUUUUCUAGUUAAAAUAAUAUUUUAACCACUACGGUGCAAAGUUUUUAGAUACUGCGUUGAUAAAGUACAAGAGAUACAAUCAGUGCUUUGUCAGUGUUUACUCAGCAUUCAAGGACAUCAAUAUUUGCAUAGUAUUUUUACUGACAUAUAGUGCACAUAUGUUUUGGGCAAAAACAUUUUUGAAUAUUAAAAUAUGAACAUUUGUAACAAACAAUUGACAAAUUAGCCAAUGCCAAUGCAAAACUUUAUCUGCCUGUUAAAAAAAGAAGAUAAUCUUCUCACAAACUGGUGUUUGAUUUUGA
ensembl:lncRNA